UGGUGUUGCCGUGCAUCGGGUCGCUGACCCAGGUGACGACGAGGCCGGCGCGGCGGACGGCGCGGAUGAGGUGGGGGAGCUUGACCCGCAUGUUCUCGGCGCCCAUGCGGGUGAUGACGGUGAUGCGGCCCGGCUUGUUGUGGGGGUUGAGGAUCUCAAUGAGCUUGAUGAGCUCGGAGGGGUUCAUCUUGUCGCUGACCUUGAUGCCGAGGGGGUUGCCGACGCCGCGGAGGAACUCGACGUGGGCGCCGCCCAGCUGGCGGGUGCGCUCGCCGACCCAGAUCAUGUGGGCGGAGCAGUCGUAGAAGGUGCCGGUGGUGGAGUCCUCCCUGGUGAGGGCCUGCUCGUAGGGGAGGAGGAGGCACUCGUGGGAGGUCCAGAACUCGGUGGUGGUCAUGAUGGGGUGGUCCAUCGUCAGCCCCGCCGCCGCCAUGAACCCCAGGGCUUCGUCCACACGGUGGGCCAGCUCCCGGUACCUGAAGAGAGGGGAGUCAGCGUCGGAGAAGGGACGGCGUGCGCUGUCGCGGGUUCGAUCGGGAGGAGGUUGCUGCUGCUCACCGGUCGCCCUGCUCGCUGUGCUCGGUGAAGUCGAGGUUCCACUGGGUGACGCGCUGCAUGGCGGCGUAGCCGCCGGUGGCGAAGGCGCGCAGGAGGUUGAGGGUGGCGGCCGACUGGCAGUAGGCGCGAAUCAUCCUGUGCGGGUCAGGCAUGCGGGACUUCUCGUCGAAGUUGUCGCCGUUGAUGAUGUCCCCCUUGUAGCUCGGCAGCUUCACGCCGUCCUUCUCCUCUAAGGCGGCCG
rnacentral:lncRNA from 1 species